rnacentral:rRNA from 1 species
CCUACGGGAGGCAGCAGUGAGGAAUAUUGGUCAAUGGACGCAAGUCUGAACCAGCCAUGCCGCGUGCAGGAAGACGGCUCUAUGAGUUGUAAACUGCUUUUGUACGAGGGUAAACGCAGAUACGCGUAUCUGUCUGAAAGUUUCGUAAGAAUAAGGAUUGGCCAACUCCGUGCCAGCAGCCGCGGUAAUACGGAGGAUUCAAGCGUUAACCGGAUUUAUUGGGGUUAAAGGGUGCGUUGGCGGUCGGAUAAGUUAGAGGUGAAAUCCCUGGGCUCAAACUCGGAAUUGCCUUUGAUACUGUUCGGCUAGAGAGUAGUUGCGGUAGGCGGAA